UGUGCUGUAAUUAGGACAAGGCUUGACGGUCAUGGGUUGAUCCUACGUUACGACACUGCGACAGACUGCGGGUCAGUUUCCAUACGUCCAACUAUACGGUCUGGAUUUAUGACAAGCAAGACAAAUGGCUGACCCUGCACCCGCUCGCAGCUGUCGUCCUAAAAAAUGUACAGCCGGAGUCAUUUAUAAUGAGCCUCUUUCACCCGCAGGCGGACUCAAAUACUCCAAAUCAAACGACAUGUGGCGCCCCGACGGUGAUAGCUUAUUGAUUUGAUCAGAGAAAAACAUCAGCAGACGAGACCCCCGCCCGGGGGUGAAGAGAGCGGGUGUGAGUGUUAAACGAGGGUGAGAACUGUGGUCCUUGUGUGCGAAUCAGCAUGGUGCAACAGAUGGAGAGGAGCUAAUCUCUUUGCAGUCAGAGAAACACCUUCGCAUGCUUUCUUUUUUCCAACUCUCAGCCCUCAGUCCCGUUGCACAACUCCUCACGUGCGGGGCAAACACACAAAACUUGUCGGUCCGGGGAGUCGGCUCUGCUUUUUCAAGCUGAGACACGGACUGAGCAAAAGUGAAGAGGUGGUGGUAAGCUACAUUUGUAGCCGCAGCUGCCCUGGGGUAGACUGACGGAAUCGAGGCUGGCAGUUUGCGCUUACGGCCCCUCCGACCACCGCCUAUCAUUCAUUCAUCAUUCAUUCACCAGUGUGAGCGGCACCGGGGUCAAGGGUGAAGUGUCCUGCCCAAGGACACAACGGCAGCGAUUUGGAUGUGAAGAGGCGGGGAGCGAACCUGCAGCCCUCAGUCUACCCACUACACCAUACCGCCCCAAUUUUAGUGAGGCGGAGCCGACGGGCUGACGUGACGGCGGGGCAGGACACGCUUUGGCCCUGCUCAAGAUGGCGGCCAGGAGGCGGAGAAUGCGGCGGAACGAAGAGGCGGGGCUUGCCGGGAGCGACGCCGCAGCAAUCGAGAUCACGUGCGUGGCUCACACACCGGUUCACAAUCUGCCUAUCUCCUCACAGUGUAUAAAAAGGGAGAGAGAGGAAAGAUCAGAGAGAGAAGAGGUGGAGUGUCUGCAGUGCCGGAAAAAACAAGAACGAUCCCAGAAGGAGCCCCAGACGAGGACAACGACAACGGCAGCUGAAAAGCCGACCGGAACGAGCAACGGAGAAGGAGCUGAAAAGCGACCCGACCGAUAUCGAAGCUUUGUUAUUGAAAAAUAAAGAGUCAAACCUG